GGAUGUACACUAAGCGACCCUCAGCUGUGUGGGACCAGCCCUGCCAACUUCCAUCGUGGGCUCAGCUGCAGCUGCCACCUGCACACGGUGCGGGGAAGCAGUGAUGGCAACCUUUCACCGUGCCCACGCCACCAGCAGCGUGAAACCCAGGGCCAGACGUCACCAGGAGCCUAAUUCAGGCGAUUGGCCUGGCAGCUACAGGGCGGGAACUCGCUGCUCAGCCAUCGGAUUUAGGCUGCUGCACAGUCCCCAGCACUGGCGACCUCGUUCUCUGGGCGCAGGGCAAGGAAGAGAGGACCCCAGUUGGGAGGGUGGUGCACUCGGAGACCUGAAGGCCCUCUGGGACCAGCCUUGCCAGCCUCCGCCUUGGGUUCAGCUGCAGCUGUCAUCUGCAUAUGGCGCGCGGCAGCAGAGGUGGCAACUCUCAACGCUGCCCGAGCCACCAGCAGCGCGGACCCCUGGCCAGAUGCCCCAGCAGCGCCUAAUUCGGGCGGCCGGCCCUUCAGCUGCAGGAGGGGGGAACCAGUGGCUCAGCCCCAUGUAGGCGGCUGCACAGUGCCCAGCACUCAAGACCUCGCGCUCAAAAGAGGGCACAGGAGGAGCAGCUGCAGGGGGCAGCGUCGUUAGGCGGGCCCUGAGACAGCUGGGACCGCGCGCUCGGCUCUAGGGAGCUCGGCCAGUCCACAGGCGUCUCAGCAGCAGCUGCCACCUGCAUGCGGUGCCGGCGAGUGCUCGGCUCAGGGCGGUUUCUGGCCACACGCAGUUUCUGGCCACGCGCAAGGCGGUUGCCUUUUGAGGUCCCAUGGGCGCUGGGGCCCAACUGCUCUGCUCCGUAUAUUAUUUAUUCUCCGAGAGGUUGGAGACGUCCUUGUCCGAGAAGUUGGAGGGUCCCUGUCUGAGGUCUGGGCCAGACUGCCUUGCUUUCUGGUGCUGGGCCGGAUGGGGGCCGGGUGGGGGCUGGGCUGGGGGAAGGGCGAGGGCGAGUUGUGGCGUCUCUGAAGCCAAUAGCUGGGCCAUGAAGAUGAUCUUGGCUGUGGAGAGCCAGAAGGGCCAGGUGCGCCUGAGCUCCUGGAGUAGUAACUGCAUCUUCUCUGACCCCUGGUACCAGACUCCAGAUGAGGAUGUCGGGAUGAUACACAAAGCUGCGUCCAGGGGAACGCGUGGGAGCUGCAGCUGAGGCUCCCGCUGAAGAGAAAAGACCAGUCUGAAAUCUACAAGAACAGGAGAAUUCUUCCAAAUCAACAUGAAAAUACCUCUAAAACUGGGCAAAGUACUUUUUCCAGCUCUGCAAGUCACCUAUGCACAUAGGAAAAAAAUACUUAAUGUGUCCGAUAAGAGAAGGACUUUAAUUUAAAAAAGGAAUAAAAUGCCGUUUUCUGUCCUAAGUUUGUGAAGAUGAGGAGCAGUGAUAUUUACACUUCUGCUUAAAGUUAAGUUGCUGAUGACUUUUCAAAAAGACAAUUUGGUGGGAUGGUUCCACAUUUGGCCUGUGCCAAUGGCUGCCCAGAAGUGGUAACUUUUCUGGUGCACAGAAAAUGCCAGCUUAACAUCUGUGACAGUGAAAACAAGACACCUCUAACGAAGGGCUAUAAUGUGCCAAGAAGAUGUGAAACUAUUCUGCUAGACCUUGGUGCUGAUCCAAAUAUUACCGAUGUCUAUGGCAACACUGCUCUCCAUAUGCUGUCUAUAAUGAGAAUAUGUCAAUGGUAGCAAGACUGUUUUCACACAAGACAAACAUCGAAGUGAAAAACAAUGUAGAGCAACCAAUGUUAUUUUCAAAAUAUUUGAAAUCCACUUGUUUUAACAUUGACAUAUGUAAGGGUCAGUUUUUGCUAUUUGGAAGCUUAAGCAAUCCCUGAAUAAAAAUAAUUUGAAAUAA
rnacentral:lncRNA from 1 species